GGUCAUGUAACUCUACAUGUGAUCGAAAUGCCAAGGGCUCCAAAAGAGCUGUCAUAAAAAUGUUCAUGGCACAUGUGACAAACACAGCCAUGGAGAUCCACUUCUUUUGGGCUGGAAAAGGGACCUGCUGCAUUCCAUUUCAAUCAACUUUCGGGCCGCUAGUGUCAGCCAUACACGUUUCUCUAAAGUCCUCUAGUGGUGGUUCGCCCUCGAAUAAUUAUAGAAGACGCACAGGAGAAGUUAUCGGUAUAGCUGUCGGAUGUGCAAGUGGACUAUUGAUACCCGCAUCCAUUUUCUAUCUAUAGUGGAUGAAGGAUGCACCUGGCCAUAUGCGAGUGCGCACAGACUCACCAAGAAAAUGAUGAUGACUUUUCUUUAUAUUUUCAGCAUUAUUGUAAUUGUAAUUGUAAUUGAUUGAAUGAAGGAUUGUAAUUGAUUCAUUAUUGAAUGAAUAAUUGUAAUUGAUUCAUUAUUGAAUGAAUAAUUGUAAUUGAAUAAA